AGGUGCUGGGGUCAGUUCUGAUAGCUGCUUUGACAUGUUAUGAAGAUGAUAUAAUUAGGAGUCGAUACCGAAUCAUGGUGGAAAUAUUGAAUGAAAAUGACAACAUGCCAUAUUUCCUUGAAGACACAAUUCAACCACGAUAUAUAAUUGCUGACUGUAAACUCGAUGGUGUUCACAGUAAAAGCUAGAGAUGGUGAUGGAGACACGAUCACUUACAUGACCGACAAAUCUACAGCCGAUGCCAGCUAUUUUAGGAUUGAUCUGCCCAACAGCGGGAUGGUG